CUGGAAAUUGUACGGAUUAUUUUCUUCUCUAAAUUUAUUUCCGGCAUGUUCACCUUCAUGCGCGUAUAGAAUCGGUACCCUAUCAAAAACAUGGCAGCAAGUUCAACUACAAAGAAUAACCUUGAUCUUUUGAUCCUAGCAGGUAAAAUUGAAUAGAGGUUACAUGUAGAUAUUCUGAUUUUAAACUUACGAAACUUUUAUAAAGUUUCAUUCAUUUUUUCUUGUUACCUACGCAACCAGGAAGUGGAGAUAAAAUUACACAAUUGGCACGCUUCCGGGGUAUAUACAUUUUACCUAAGCUAUGUAUCUUUUGUCAGGGAUAAUACAUGUAUGAAACUGCAACAUCAAAGGAUAAUGUAUUUCACCCAUUGCAUUUUGUAUUGGAUAGAUCUAGGCUAAGUCUAUUAUUAAUAUUCGUACCUUAUUCUUGCAACGUGUUGAAACAACAACACGUGGUGUGGAACACACACACACACACAAAGAUAAAUAAUAAUAAUAAAACCCCAAAACCAGAAGUAUUUUAACCAGACGAUAAUAUUUACUCUCUUUUUGUUAAAGUUAUGAUAUAGUAUGUUAUGUAUAUAGAUUAGUUGGAUUGGUAAUUUUAUCUAACUAGGUUGAAUUUGAGUCUCUGUUAUAGCUGCUGUCAAUAUUGUGAAGGGCAUAAUUUGUCCUAAAAUCUUUUUUGAAAUUAAGUGUGUGCACAAUUUUCUGAUUGCUUUUUAAAUUUCGUAAAUGAGGAGGAAAAGGUGAAGGGGGGAUGAGAAAUGGGGAGGGAGGGGGGAGAGAAAGGGGGCGGGAGGAGGGAUGAGAAAUGGGGAAGAGGGAAGAGAAAGGGGGCGGGAGGAGGGGAGGGAUGAGAAAUGGGGAGGAGGGGAGAGAAAGGGGGCAAGGACACACACACAGAGAUGAUGAUAAACACUCAUGAAAGUUUAGAAAGAAGAUGAAAGUAUUCAUCUAUUAUAAAUUUUGGGUCUCGCUUAUUGGUGUUUCUUUUUUUUUUUUUUUUGGGUGCAAAUCAGUAGUACAUGUACUUGGAUGAUUACAUUUUGUAUAAAUAUGAACAAAAACAGAGGGUUUUGUAGUUGGUGCCCAUAAGUGUAUCUGUCUGCAAUGGGCUGUCUGAGCUUUUCUUUUGACCCAGUCUAUGAUACAUGUAUACUCUUUGAUGCAUUGCCCUCAAAGUUUUUCAUUUCUUCUUAUGCCUUUUUGUGGAUCAACCCUUGACGGGAACUAAGACAUUUUAUAUGAGAUUUUCAAAAUCAUGUAAGUAAGUGGAUUUCUUGUUGGUGCAUUAUCACUGAUACCAAUACGCAAGUUUUGAGAUACGUCAGAGUAAUUGCCCUUUAGAGAACUCUCGUACACGGUAAUGUGCGAAACAAUUUGUUCACAUGUGGGAGUGUCAUCACCCAAAUUCGACUGAUACGCAAAUUAAGUAAACGAUCAGUAUUGUGGGAGUAAUCAGAUGUACAGAGAAUACGCAAUUUCCGAGUUGCCCAAUAGUUCUUUCCCUUUGUGGAACUCUUACGCACAAUGAGACACAAAACAUACUAUCGUCCACACGUGGUGGGUACAAAUGCUUAUCACUGCCUUCAUAUAUUGUCUAAAGGCCUUUUAUCAGACCUUUAGAACUUGCAACCACCCAAAUUGUAGGAACACAAUAUUAGUAAGUUUAAGAGUAUUUGAUACUAUUUUUCUUUGAUUGAAAUAUCAAUCGUGCAGAGGAGGAAAUAAAAAAUCAUUUCAUGUUUAAUUUAAUGGCCUAAUUGAAACAAAUAUUAUUCUUGAUAUGGUCAGGUUAAUGUAUACCAACAGCUGAUAUAAACAAAAUUUACACUUUCAAUACUUUAUCCGUAUUUACAUAGCUAAUCUAUAGUAUAUGUAUACAUCUUGUACCCACCCAAGCGUUCAACAGAACACUGUACGUACCUUCAUCACAGAAGAGCUAAUAUCUCGGAAGUUGGGUAUUUUUAUUAUAUCAUGCUAUUUCUUUGCUCAUAUGUAGAUUAAUCAUAUUUAGGCUAUAACUUGCAAAUGUGACAUUGGUUGUUUUUUUUUUCACUGUAGUAAAACAUUUCUUUCAGUAAUGUUUUGCAUAUCCUACAUUUACAUAUAUUUCAACAGGAGCCAUUUUUUUUUUUUACAUUUUAUUGUCUUCCUCACAGAAUGUAGGUCCAAUCUGUCCCACUUACGCAUUCAAAGUUCACUAAAUACAUCACCUAAACAAAAAGAGCUCUUAUCUCGAAAUUGGCAUAAUGAGUGUAACAAUAAUUCUCAGAAGAGAGUUAAAGUGAACAAACGCCUGAAGAUGAGAGAUUUCGUAGAAAAUUUCACCUUUCUUGUCAUCAAGGACAAGAACAUGGUCAAUGAAUUGAGACAUGUUUUUUUCAACAUUGGUCCAAGUAAUAUUGCAUUGAAUUUCUAUGGUACUUACUUAAUUAAGUGUGCAUGUUCCUAAUCUGAAAUUACCAUGCCUGCACAAACAAGAAAACCGAACUGCAAGUGAUUUCCAGCAAUUAUUCCUGUUCGUUUUGGAAAUUUACUAGGUAGUAGACAGUCUCUGGGUUUGAUUUUUGUCCCUUUCACCAUGUUUGACACACUGCGGUGUUUAGAAUAGAAAUAAACAUGCUGGAUAAACUAUCAAUGUCAAUAAGUUAUGUAUAAGUAGAUUGCAAUAUACUACGCACGACUUUCUGACUUUCUAUUAAUAUGAUCGGCAGAAAUACCUCACAUUUGAAGCAUUAUGUAUAUUUCAGAUAUUGGGGUUCACGGGAAAACCCUUCCCUGAAUGGGUAAGGAGGUGAGGAUGAAUACCUUGCCCAAUCACAAAAACAAUUUAUCGUAAAGCACUGCUAUACUCCAUGUAAGACUAUUUUAUGCAAGUGUUUUACCAAGGAGAUGCUUACAACCUUGUGUAUUGUACAAAGUUAUCUUACACCUCACACAUACAUUGACUAUACUAGGUAGGUUUUCAUCUUAGCAAGCCAAAUGUCAGACUUUCUUACUCUCAUCUCCCUCUUGGCAGAGUUUGUCCUAUUUCGUAGUACCCCGGACUUUCAUACUACCCUGUUAUUGAUAUGUAUACAGUAGAUCGCAUCAUGAUACCUGAGCUGUCUUGUCGCCAAUUUCAGAGACCACAAUGUUUGGUAGAACCAGUGGGUUUUUUUGGGCCUGAUUUGGGGCCGAAAUUCGGCCCCAGUCCCAAUCGGAAAUUCCCUAAUAUUUUCCCAAUUUUGGGCCAAAACAUUCCCAAUCGUAAUUUAAAAAAAAAAAUCUUUGUACGAGUUAUUUAAAUAUUACGUAUCAUGUAUCAUGUAUUUCAUGAUAGCUCUUCCGGUAAUGAAUGCAUCGUGUUCUAACUGGUAGAUUCAGUAGUCAUGUCACAUAACAUUAUGUAAAGAAGCUUACUAAAAAAACCAAAAGAUUCAAACAAAAAGAUAUCCUUCUUCCGGAAAUGUAUAAUUAAAUGAUGUCAUCAUGGAAAUCAUGAAAUUUCAAUAAAGAUGAAUUUUCUCAAUUUUCUUGUUUUGUCGCUAUUUUUCCCAAUUGAAAGGGCCCCAGUCCCAAAUUGGUGAAAAAACACUGUAGAACGCUUAUAGUUAAUCAGUUUGUUCGCCCCAUAUUAAAUACAAGUUGGGCAAUAGCGACAGACAAUGCAAUUAUAUUUGUUUGUUUGUAACAUGUAUGCAAAUGGUAAGAUGGAAAAAAUAUGUAUGGCAGCAUUUUUCUAAAUUUGAAAGUAUGAAACUAAAUAAUUGAUCAAACAGGUUUGUUCAAAUGGAGAGAGGGGUCAUUUUUUCAGUUUGGUCUUCUGAUUUGGUAGUAUAAACAAGCAAACUUUUAUAUUGAAGGUAUUUACCCAGGUCAAAGCAGUUUUGUGUAAUUUCAUUGGAGUGGACAGUUUGGUAAAAUUGUGAAGUUGCAAGCCUCUGUGUAUACAUGUGUGAAACCACAGCUUACCCAUUAUUUACCACAAGUCUUGAAGGCUGACCAUGGAAGUUAUUGUUCAAUUUCAUCAAAAUCAGGAAAACUAGAGUUUUACAAUUGUAUUGAACGCCUGACAAAUCUCCCAUUAAGGUGGCUCACUACAUCCUGAAAUAGUUCUCAAAUCAAUACGAAUUGAUUUAAUCAUAAAAGAUAUGAUGAUAUAUGCAGGGACUUUUUUAGGGUCUGUAGGGGGUCGAAAUAAAGCCCCAUUCCCAAUGCUAAAAAGCAGGUAUUUUCCCCAAUUUUUGCUUUGAAAUUUUCAAACAAUGAUAACAAAUCUUGAGAUCUUCUAUGAAUUCACUGGUAGCUACAGAUGGGCUUCUCACAUCUUUUUUAUGCCCCCAAUGCAUAUUAUAGUUUUUGGCCUGUCCACAUGUCUAUCUGUGGCUAACAACUUUAACCUUGGUCACAUUUUUUACACCAUAAGUGGUAGAGCUUUGAUAUUUGGUAUGUGUAUUUCUUGUAACAAGACCUUUCCAUUGACACCAAAAUGUUUGACCUUGUGAAUUUUAACAUUGACCUGGUUCUACUUUGUUGUUAAUUGGGGCAUCAGUGUCACAAACACAUCUUUUUCUUCUUUUAUUUUUAAUGGAAUUCAGUUAUUUUGUUGUACACCAACUAGAGUUGUGUAUUUGGAAGAAGUUCAGUUGGUCAGGGGUACUAAACAAGAAUGUAAGUAUCAGCAGUACUUUGAUAUUUGUUUUAAAUCUAAUUACCUAGCUGGGUAACUCAGUAGUUUAACGUGUUGAUUGCUGACCUGUAUAGAUCACGGGUUCAAGUCUAACAGGUGUUUUGAUUCAUUUUUCUCCAGAUUAUUUAUACUACAUUUUUCAACUAAAUAAGGUAAUUAAAUUUGAUCAUUUUCAUUUUCAAAACAUUUUUAGUUCACCUGAACCGAAGGUUCAAGUGAGCUUUUCUGAUCAAAAUUUGUCCGUCGUUGUCUGUCAUUGUUGUAAACUUUUCACAAUUUUAUCUUCUUCUUCAGAACUACUGGGCCAAUUUCAACCAAACUUGGCCAAAAGCAUCCUUGGGUGAAGGGCUUUCAAGUUUGUUCAAAUGAAGGACCAUGUCCCUUUCAAAGGGGAGAUAAUCACAAAAAUGCAAAAAUAGAGUGGGGUCAUUUAAAAAUCCUCUUCUCAAGAACCACUGGGCCAGAAGAGCUGAAAUUUAACUGAAAGCUUCCUGGCAUAUUGCAGAUUCAAGUUUGUUCAAAUCAUGGCCCCCGGGGUAGGAUGGGGCCACAAGGGGGGAUCAAAUUUUACAUACAAAUAUAUAAGAAAAAACUUUAAAAAUCUUCUUAAGAACCACUAAGCCAGAAAAGCUGAGAUUUACAUGAAAGCUUCCUGACAUAAUGCAGAUUCAAGUUUGUUCAAAUCAUGGGCCCCGGGGGUUGGAUGGGACCACAAUAGGGGAUCAAAGUUUUACAUACUAAUAUAUAGGAAAAAUCUUCUUCUCAAGAACCAAUGAGCCAGAAAAGCUGAUUUUUACAUGAAAACUUUCUGGCAUGGUGCAGAUUCAAGUUUGUUCAAAUCAUGGCCCCGUAGGGUAGGAUGGGGCCACAAGUGGGGGGGGGGGGGGUGUCAAAGUUUUACAUACAAAUAUAGGGAAAAUCUUUAAAAAUCUUCCUUCUCAAGAACCAUUGGGCCAAAGAAGUUGACAUUUACAUGAAAGCUUUCUGACAUAGUGUAGAUUCAAGUUUGCAAAAAGGGGUAGUUGGGGUCAAAAUAGGGACUAAGGUUUUACAUGGAAAUAUAUAUGGAAAGUCUUCAGAUAUGGGCCAAGGUGACUCAGGUGAGCGAUGUUGCCCAUGGGCCUCUUGUUGUAGAUAUCCUCCACUUUCCCCUCAUAUCAGAUUUCUCUGAUGUGGACUCCUCCUUUGUUUACUACAGAAAGAAACAUCAGAUCUAUGGAUGAGAAAAUGGUGAUCUUCUGUAUCAACUAAGUUCAACAAAGAGAAUUCUAUCACCCAGUGCUGUUUAAUCCAAUUAGUAUUUUAUGGAGAAAGAGCCAUGUAAAUUAUGAUUUUUUCGUGAUUGCAGCAUGCUGGCUGCAGUGUUUGAACCUACUCUACUUAAGCUACAGGCAUUAUAGAUAUUGAUCCAAAGGCUCUCUGUCAAAACUCUACUGAUUCUAUUGAUCAAAGGACACAAAUUCUACUUCCUUGUUGUCUGAUCUCACUUCUGAUUGGUCAACCUGUGGUUGUUGACUUCCAAUCAUCUUGCAGCAUCAACCAGGGAGUCUGAGAAUGUUAUUAUCUUGUAUUGCAUGCUGGUAGUAUUAGAACAUUUUUGGAUAUCAAUAGUUGCUCAAAGAUACAUUUGAGGUGAGUACCGAGUGCUGAGUUCAAGGGUUUCAGUAAAUAGGAGUAAAAAAUUUGUUUUACAUUUCCAUUCAAACAAAAUCAGAAAGCAGCUGUUAAUAUUAUAAAGUACAAAGUUGUCGAAUUCAUAAAGGAUAUAUGCCAUGUAGAUGUUUUGACUGACUCAGAAUUGAAUCAUGAAUCAAAGCAGGUGUUUAAAGCAACCCUAAGUGACAUUAAAAAAAAAGGAUUUAGUUCCGUGGCUCACAAACCAGAAUUUGAGACAACUGUACGAGCCCAACAGCACCUUUUUUAUAUUGAAACAUCCUAUGAUCUUCAAAACAAGGUGUGAUUCAACUUGAUGUUACUUAUGAUGCAGAGGCCGAACUUUUUCAACAGACAAAGAUGCCUGUGAAUGAAAUUUUAUGUUCCAAGCCGUAGAUGAAGCUGAUAAACUACAGGUAAGCAUCUCUCUCUGACAAGAAAGGGGGGGGGGGGUGUUAUUGGAUAUAUGUAGAUCAGCAUUGUUAUUCCUGUAUUUUUUAAAAAAAAAAUUUAAGAUCUGGUACACCUGAUGAGAUGGAGAGGUGAGGAUGUAUUCUCAGCCAGCAAAUAUGCAGUGUCCAGUUACUUCAAAAACUUAAAAUGGAGAAAACUAGCCAAAUCCUGAAAUUGAUACACUGUGGUAACGACCCUUAAAUUCGUUCGACAGAGACAAUUCUACUUGGUAUUGUAAAUAUCCUUUGGGGAAAAACAUGCUUUCCAUCUGAAAUUUCUGAAUUUGAAAGUUAUCUCCCAUUUAUACUAAUCACUCCAUGCCGACCGCUGUCAUCGCAGCAUAAGUGAGGCACUUUAGGCAUGCCUCAGCCCCCACAGAUGAGGCUUUCAUUUGUAGUUAUGCUGGUUGCCUAAACAAUUCUAAGAAGAGAGAAAAAUGUCUUGACUGUCUUGUUGAAAUACUUAGAAGUCAGUCAUAUUCAAAUUCAACACAAACAAGGUUACAUGUAAAGGAAGUUCACAGAAAUAACAACUGAAGAUUCAGUGAUUCCAGUUUUGAAGAACUUUCUUCCAUUGUUGUUAGCAGUGAAAAUGUUCCAAAUGCCCAGCCUAUAAGUGUCACAGUGCAAUUGCCCAUAAGCUUACCUUCUACAGAAUUUCAUGUUUACCCAACAAUGAAUAACUGGUGAAAUUUAGUUUUGGUCCCCAAAUAUAAACUGUGGUUUGCUGAAUUAUAAAAAUGAAGUUUACCAUAUUAAACUUCUUUACUUUGAAUUCUUUCACCUUGUUGACUUUUUUGUUACACGUUUACAUCAAUGUACAUAAAAUAUGAAAUUGCAUCACAUUGCUUUGUUAUAUAUAUCUAAUAGACACAUGCCACACAAUAUGAUAAAACAGAUAGUGCAUGAUGUUGAGGGUAACAUUGAAAAUUUUCACCCCAAGAAACCAUGUGUGUCAACCGAGACGCAGCCUGUUUUGACAAUAUGGUUUUCUCAGGGUUAAAAUCUUGAUAUUCUCAACUACACACGCUAUUUAUAUGUUAAUAUCACCUUUUUGUCAAGUAAUGUUUCCCGUUGCUAGAUACUAUCAUCCUUGAGUACAAUGCCUAAUUACUCCCAUAAGGAAAUGUAGUUUUUCAAAUGAUUUCAGGUCAAUCAGAUUUGAGUAUUUUACAUGAAAGUAUAAUAAUGUAGAUCUGGUGUUCACAGAAUUUCAGAUUUAGAAUAAUAUUAUGUAAGAUGAAGUGUCUCAAUUUGAAAGUAGUAACACGGUGUCCUUGUUAAACACUAUUUUGUUUUUAAAUAUUUAUGUAACAUAUCUAAAUACAGUAGCGAUAUCAAAAGAAGGAUACCUGCAUAUUGAUGAUUUACACAGCAAAUGUAUCAUUGUUCAUUGUUAUUGAUUGAUGGAGUUGUAUGUGAUGUUCAGGAUACUAGUCAGAUCACAGUAUGCAUAUUGUCAAUAUAUAUAUAUAUAUAUAUGAUAGUUAUAAUUAGCCUUGUCUACUCUAACCGAUCCCAGUGUCUUUUUAGAGAGAUGAAGAUGUGAUAUCGGAGAUUUGGCUUAAAAUAUUUGAAAUGAGUAUUUUAAUUAUGUGACAGACAGUAUGUCAGUUUUACAUUGCCUGUAACACGUUUGACAAACCCAAUAUCAUUGCAUGCUAUCGUGUCAUUAUACUAACGUUCACCGAAGGUAUUUUGACUUGUAGGCAACAGUUUUGUUUUUAAAAAACCGAGAGAGAGAGAGAGAGAAAGAAUCAAUAGGGGAUUGUAGCAGGAGUAUAGGGUAUGCUCAUUAGCUGUCGUCAUGGACUGCCUUUUGUUGCUGGUUGUCAUAGAAACAGCCUGCAGUGUCUUAUUAUUCUUACUUUUCUAGCUUAGAAGGCCAUUGCUUUUUACUACUGCUGUAGUUGUUUUUUCUCUAAUUCCUUCGAUCUAUGUGACUGUUACAGAUAAAGAUUAGCUGUCUUAGUUUGAUAACUGAGUUGUCACUGUAUAAUUUACCUAAUAGAAACCUUUUAACAAAUUACUUUUUGAAGGACUUUUUCUCAUUCUGUACCAUACAUACUACAUGCAGGGAUUUAUCUAGGUUGUUUUUACUACCGGUAAAAGGUACCUUUCUCCACUGGCAAUAAAUGGAUAUUUCCUCUUCCAUAGAUAAAAUAUCCCCUUCAUUUGUAGAAACUUUACAAAAUUGUAUGAGAAUUUUCAACAAAAUCAUUUUUAUAUAUUCUAAGUCAUUUUCUAUAGCUAUCAAACUUACAAUAUAGAAAAAAAUGAGUACUCAAUCAAUUUGUAUUCCAUGGAUGUCCCACACCACCAACCCCUGGAAGCUCAUGACUGCAUUCUCAAAAAUUCCCCUUAAAUAUAAAAUGGCUAGUAACAUCUAAAUGCUAGAUAAAACCCUGACAUGUGUUUGGAAUCAAAUAUUUCAAUUCAAUGAUAUUUAUUGUGCAUAAACGAGAUUAUGUAAGGAAGAGGGGGGGAAAAGGAGAGUGAAUACUGAGUGAAUUUGCAGGUAUUUAAAUAUCAGUUGACAUGAGUUAUGAUUUCGUCAUUUAAAUGCAAAUAUCAGUUGGAAGAUGCUUACAUAAUUGGCUCAAGAAAAGUUUUCAUCAAAGCAAAAUUAGAUAUCAAAAGCCCUGAUUUCACAUUAACAGGCUUCAACUUAGAAAAUAAAUUACCAGUAGAUUUUUUCAAAACUGAUCAUAUACAUGUACUUUGAAAAUUUUCCUCAAUUAAUUUAACAUGGAACCCUAUUACAAAUGCAUAUUUUUGGCAUAUUGACAAUUUCUCUAGAAUGCUGUUGUUUAAAAGAUGCAAUAUGUGAUAGCUUGAAAGAAAACUUUUGGUCACCUAUCAAACUCUUAUGAAUUUUUUUUUCCAGUUUUGAGCAAAGGGAGAUAACUUUUUAAAGGAAACUUGGAUUAAGUUAAUAGUAAUAAUCCUGCUCUGACAUUUGUAUUAAUGUAAUGAUGUAAGCUGUCGGUAUAUAGAUUUACCAAUGUCAUUUAUAUAAAGUGUGAAAAAGCUCACUUUUAUGUGUUUGAUUAGGACUCAGAAAUGCUAACAUUGUUCCAAUGAGUAGCGUAAGUGACACUAUUAUACAAUAAGAAACGACUAAACAUCAGUAUUUCAGGCGGUCAUUUCAGGGCCAUUGGACUUCUAACAAUUACAUGAAAUUUUAUAGACACCUAUGUAAUUUGUAAGAAGAAUGUAAUGAAUGUAUAUGUGCGUAAGUUUUUGUUACCAUGCCAACACAGCAGUACUGAACAUAAUUCUAGAUAUUAUAUGGCAAAUUUGGAAUAUUUAAGGAUUGCAAACAAGUGAAUUCAUGUUUUCAGAUUGGACAUGGUUUUAAGUUCAGUUGCAGGGAUUGUCUUUUUGUCUUACUUAUAUCUUCUUAUUAUCAUUUAUAAUGACCAAAUUAUUAUUUUAGAAUAUUACUGCUGCACUCUCCAAUUAAUUCUCUCUUACUCAUUCUCUCUCUCUCACUCGUUUUAAGACAAAACUGUUGCCUACAAGUCAAAAUACCUUCCGUGAACGUUAGUAUAAUGACACGAUCGCAUGCAAUGAUAUUGGGUUUGUCAAACGUGUUACAAGCGAUGUAAAAUGACUAUUAUAUAUCUGAAAUACACACUGUUUUUCGUGUUUUCAUAUUCUUCCAGUAUUUUCUUUUGUCAAAAAAAAAAUUUUGCCUGUAGAAUGUAUAAUGCUGUCUUUUGCCAAGUUCCAUUGUGCCAAAUUUAACCAUCCACCUUGACAUUAGUAUUGACUGGUAUUUGGAAAGUGAGUAUAGCAUUCAAGGUCAAUAGGGCAUAGUUUAAGGGCAUGUAUAAUCAGUGCUUGAAUUAAACUAAGCUAUGAACACAGUAAACAGAAUGCAAUUCGAUCUUUUAAGUUUAAUACUCGCUACAGAGGUAUUGUGGGAAAGAUUGACUUUCAAUAUAGAUUGAUGCUUGAGAAUGAUGAUCAGUGAAUGAUGCCAUUUUGCCUAGCAUAUCACUCCAUGUACUCUCAUUCAGUUAAAGAGUGGUCAGUUUUUAGAUGGGCACCAGUAAGGACCAUCAGUGAGGAUUGUAAUGAUUGGGUCAUCACAAGGUCAUGUGUGUUGAAGCUUCACUUUAUGUGCAGUGUGACUGUCUGUGCUAUUUAUAUAGGAACCCCCACCAUUUGCAGGAAGAAUGCACAAAUGCCUCUGUUUAGUGAAUGGAAACACAGAAACAGCUGUGUGAUUAAUAUGUGAUUCUGCCAGUGGCAGUGCUAUAUUUUGUGUAGAUUGACUGAGCAUUAAAGACAUCUCCGUCAUUUGCUAUUUGCGUAACAAACACAUUUUCUUGAACAAUAAAGAGACUGAGAAAAUCGGGUAGAGUAAAUGCCCUGAUAAUGCAGACCCAGAUCAUUGAAAUCAGAACUCACCAAAAAGUCACAUUGAUGUCUCUGAUAAAUGUUCAAUUCAUUGGUGACUAGAAAAUCUACAAGAGUAUGGACUCCAGAUUGUAGUGACACUCUGGAUGUUAGAAAUCUAAGGACAGAACAAGAAUAUAUUGGUAUUGAUUAACUUGAGAGCAAUCUUAGCUGUGAAAAUUACUACUGAACAAAUGUAGACCCUCAGGUUUUUAAUCAACAUCACACAUCUGAAAGAUCUUACUAUUUGAUGAUAAUGGGUAUAAAACAAAGAAUGUGCCUUCAUCCAGACUGUAGACCUUCAUAAAGGUUCAUACCCUUAGUAUUGUUGGUGUGGAAUGAACUGGCCUUACUCAUCAUAUACAAAUGGAUCUUGAAAAAUUUCAAACAUCAAGGCAGAAAAUAUCUGGAAAUUUUGAUAUUGAUUUAAUAAGUAUCGGAAACAUUUAAAACAGGAAGUUAGUCUGUUUAAUUAUGAUUCUUAUUUACCAUGCACAAACUACUCAUUGUUAAGUGGUUCCCAUUGUUUUAUCUCUGAAAAACAGGGGACAUGAUAAGUGAUUUGGUCAACAAAUGAUAAAUUUAACUUGAUUAUUGCUUAACAUGAUGUUACAAAACUCACAGUUUAAAGUGAAAUAUGAAACGUGAUUAACAGAAUAACGAAAAUAGUCAUUUUCAUGGAUUAGACAGGAAAUGGGAUUUAACAUGUUUCAGUUUUGUACUUUUGUUUCUAUAUGUGCUGUGUGAGGACUUUGGUUCCGAUUAUAUCUAUAUUUAGGGUAAUUUGUUCUGUAAUCUGGGCUGCGGCUAUCAGUGCGGUACAUCUUUUGUUUGCGGAUGUUGCCGUCUGAUCUGAGAGGAGACUUCCGUAUAGUCAAUUAUCUCUCUUUCUAGGGUUUCCGUAAACUCUAAUUACUUGGUUUCCUCUUCUGGUUCUCAGGGCCCCCCUCUCCAUAUUUAGUUUACUUCAGGAAGAGUGUUAUAAAGUUUGAACUUUCUGGCCACUUGCUGUUUGAUUAACUGGAGAAGUUACUGGAGAAGAUAUGACUAUAUAAAUCUUUUAUGUGUUCUGUUUUUAAAGACCCUUGGUAACAGUAUAACUUCAGUUCAUAUUAAUAACUGUGUAUGUCAUGAUUGUAUGUUCAACAUUGGUGGUGGUAUGAUUUAAAAAUCUAUUUUUUGUGAAUUGAAUUGGUACUUCAUAAAAGCAGUGACGUAAGGUUUAGAAUGGUAGGCCUUAUUGGGUCAUUAGGUUGUUGAGAAAUAAGAGUACAAAUUAGAUUUGAAAUUAUCUUUGACCUUGACCUGGUGAGAUAUUUUAGAGGGCAAAGAGUUUGUCUUCUUUACAAAAGUUCUAUCUUUACAUAUAUCAGACUUCAGACUUUUUGAAGCCUUUGAAUUAUGUUUCCUAUACAUGCAGUCAUCCAAAAAGAAUGUUGACAAGCAGGGUGUAAUUGUCGGACAGGACAAUAGACAGAGUUGGCAAAGAAUUUGCUGCUUGUCCACACUCGGUAGCUUUGUGCGGAAAUGCAGAUUACUAUCAAGGUUUGAUCAUUUGCCAGAGACCCUGUUUUGGAAAUAUUUUGAAAGCCUGUGUAAUUUAAAUCCUUCCUUGGUUUUUAUAAUUAUUACUACUGCUGACGUAAAUUAUAAAGCCCUCUCAUUAAUAAUUUGUACCCAGCCCAUCUUUUUUAGUAAGAUUACAUAAAACUGGUUUUAUUUAAAAAUAAAAAUGAACAUAAAAUUGAAAACCAUCUUCAAUACAAGUUGAAAGAAUUUUAUUUAAACCUGUUCUGACACAGUUUUUUAGAUACAGUAUAGUUAAUUUCUUUAGGUGUAAUCGUUUUAGAUGUGAGCUGGCUAUAAUAGGGUUACUGUCCUGGCAACCCCCUGUAAGUCAGCAAUGAACCCCUAAUUGUUGUGAUUUUUGUUUACUCAAUUACGUUUCAUGAUCAUACACUAUUUCAAUAUCUAAAGUCAGAUGCUGAAGGACCAUUUCGUAGUAAACUUGUAUAAAGUUAUACUUAUAGAGAUGACUGAUACAUUGAAGUGCAUCUAUUAUGUAUUAGUAUACCACAUGCAGUAUGACUGUGAUUGGUGCACUUAGCAGAACUUUGAUUGUCUUCUAGACUGUAAGUAGUUUGUUUUUGUGAUUUUAAUGAAAAUCAGAUCAAGUGACAAUGACCUCAGCGUUUUUAAGUACUCUGUCAGCUGAGAGCUUAUAGUCGGUUAUCUGGGAAGUGUUUCUUUGUUGUAAGCUGUCACAGUGUAGAUCAUAGAGGUCAAUCUCUAAAAAAAAUAAAAACAGAACAAAUAUGAACCGGACAUAAUACAACCAAUUCUAUCAACGGAGAGGGAAAUAAACAAGUAAACACGAGGCAAUAAAAAGUUUGACUUUUAGGAAGUGGUGCCUGGUUUUACGAUGUUAUGAAGUAUGUAAAAGAAUAUAAGUAACCCCACCCAAUGUCUGGUGACACAGAAUGCUUUACCUGGAGAUCAUAUACCUGUCCGCAUGACUAAUGACAAAACAAGUGGUGUGUGCAAGGAAAGAGGAAAAAUUAGGAAAUAUUUGUUUUUAUUAAAAGCUUCAGAAAUUGUUGAGUCUAUGAGGUGUACAAUGCACUCCUUCCCCGAUAAUGACAUACAUGUACAGUGAAAUAUUAGGCAGCAUAAAACCACCUUCAGAUAGUCUGACGCAGAUUAUGUGAAAUAUUUGUGCAGUGUGACAAACAAAAGCUCAUCGUAGAAACCAUGAAGUGGGCUUUAUUUGUACAUGAUGUACUUUAAUGAUUGCUUUAUAUAUGCACGAGUAUACUAAGAAACUGGGGGAAGUCCGGUAAAUGUGGACUGCGGAUAUACGAAUGAAUAAGUUCAACAUUUCCGAUGUUGGGAAGUAUUCAGGGUUACAUGGUGGAGCUGAGUAAGACACUUGAAUCUGCUUCCUUGUGACAAGGGCCUGAAUUAUAGGAACAGUAACAAGGGCCCCAUACUUACCCUGGCCUGACACUUGUCCACCUUCAGUAUUUGCCGCUGAUAGAAUUUAGUCAUGCUCCUACUCCAAACUGGCUUCUUCAGAUCUUAGUCACUUAAAACUUGAAAUUAUUUUGAAAUAAAGACCUCAUUAUGCUCUUCUCUGAAAAGCUUUUGUUUUUCCUACUGUGGGAAUUUUUUUUCAAGAUCUUAGUAGUUUUCUUCACAUUAUGAAGGAGUUUCAGAAUAAAAUGAAGUUGCUGAAUCAGAGAUCUAUUGUACCUAUAGGGAAUUCUCGCUAGCUGGUGAAAAUUAUGUUCGGUUUUUGAUAUGUAGCAGGAGUAUAGGUUUAAUUAUUUGUGAUGUCAGUAUUUAGAGCACUUGCAAUUGAUAGCCCAAAGUCUUUAACCAUAUGAAAGUUUGACCAGCUCUGGGUCUAGAUAGAUUUCUCAUUGAACUGCAGAUAUUGAGUUUUGCUCUUUCAUUUUCAUCCAACAAAAUUAACAAAAAAAAUUUAGCCCCUGUGUCAGAACAAUGGAUGUAGUCUCAAUCAAAGACUUCAAAGGGAGUUGACCCCACUAGUUGAACACCAAUAAAGAACAGCUGUAUAGUUCAAGAAGGGGGGAUAAUGGCUGUGUCAAGGUGACAAAGCUCACCUGCAACACUUGCAUACAUGAAAUUCUCAAAAUUUGAGAAGUUAUUUUUAAGUUGUUAAUCAGUAUGCAUAACACAUAUUUCAUUCAUCUUACUUCACUUGUCAUGUAUAUAUUGUGUGGAUUAUGAAAUGCGCUACCAAAGUUUAUCAAUAUGGAUAUUUAAAUUCUGCAAAAACUAUCACAGCCAAAGUUGCUUUUGUCAUUGAAAAUGAAGUAUCUCGUUCAAAGCACAUGAAGUCACUGAGUGUAUGUUCAUAGGCUGUGUUCUGUAUCUCGCCCAAUCGGUUCGUUGUAUUACUACAUGUUCGUUCACACACUCUCUCAAUGAUGUAGCUAUAAUCCUAAACCUGAUGAACUUUCACAGUAGACAUGCAUGUCUUAACAGUGGACUGUUUUUAGUGUUGGACAAUGAUUGCUAGUUUCACCAUGUUCUGUGAUAAACUGUGAUAUUAAACACAUCAUGCAUCAUACCUCGUAACAGAUUUUAAGAAGAAAUAAUUGCUUCAGGGAAUCAUACACAGCCAUGACCUUGUGAUUAUGAAGUAAUAAAGACCUUGUGGAAUCCUAUUGUUUGAUUCCAUUUGGUUUCAUAAAGUCACAGAAUCCUCUGUUGCUGGCUGUUUUUAUUCAGAUUUUAAAACAUACUAAAGGCAAUUCUAUUGGAAAUGUCCAUGCCAUGAAAUUGGUAAAAAGAUAAAAACUUGAAACUUUUUAAAAGUUUUGUCAUGCUAUCUGAGAUCAGAUAUUAUGUCACAGAAAAUGGAUACACCCACGCUUUUUGCUCAAUCUGAAUAAGCAUGUUACAGUAUUUCACAAUCGGCAGAAAAUUAUACUAGGGGCAUAAAGUAAAAAAGUCAUCAAUGCCGCCUUUACAUACAUCCCAUACCCCAUAUAAUACUUUCCCCAGUUAGAGACACGCUGUAUAUACCCAGUACUUACAUUUAGUACUUUCGUUAGAGACAUACUGUAUUUAUAUACCCAGUACUUACAUUUAGUACUUUCCUCAGUUAGGGACAGACUGUAUUUAUAUACCCAUUACUUACAUUUAGUACUUUCCUCAGUUAGGGACAGACUGUAUUUAUAUACCCAGUACUUACAUUUAGUACUUUCCUCAGUUAGGGACAGACUGUAUAUACCCAGUACUUACAUUUAGUACUUUCGUUAGAGACAUACUGUAUUUAUAUACCAGUACUUACAUUUAGUACUUUCGUUAGAGAUAUACUGUAUUUAUAUACCCAGUACAUACAUUUAGUACUUUCCUCAGUUAGGGACAGACUGUAUUUAUAUACCCAUUACUUACAUUUAGUACUUUUGUUAGAGACAUACUGUAUUUAUAUACCCAGUACUUACAUUUAGUACUUUUGUUAGAGACAUACUGUAUUUAUAUACCCAGUACUUACAUUUAGUACUUUUGUUAGAGACAUACUGUAUUUAUAUACCCAGUACUUACAUUUAGUACUUUCCUCAGUUAGAGACAUAAGAUAGGAUAAGUUUAUUCCAAUUUUGGGCCCAGAGGGCAUAACAGUAAGACAGAAAGUUUACAACAUUAACUACAGGUUACAUAGACUGCAAACUGCAUGUGGAAUGCAGCAUGUUGGGGAAACAAGUACAUACAUAUAUGAAUUGCUAAUCAUGUAUAUAUACAAGUAAAUGGACAGUAUCAGUAUUAUACCAAUAUAUGAAUAAUAAACUAUAAUGAUUUUUGCAGUUUUAAAGCAUCACUUCUUUUUCUGAAAGUUUGCACUAAAUAUUCACUCAAUUUGACAAUUACUGGUUUGUCUUCAUUAAUCAUCAACCAAGUAAAUUUGUCCUUAUUUGUUAGAUAGAUAAAAUUUUUGUUGAGCUUGUAUAUACCAUUAAAAAACAUAUUUCUCUCUUCAACAUAGAAUGGACAAUCAGUAAGGAAAUGAAAUCCAUCUUCUACACAAUUAAGUUUACAUAAUUCACAUAUUCUUUUGUUUCUUUCAAAAGAAAUCUUCUGGCCAGAAUUGGUUUUUGUAAAUUCAUAUCUUCCUCUUUCAAUUCGAAGGUCAUGUGCACUAAUUCGAAAUCUACAUAGAGUUUUUCUUAAUUCUAGGGAUUCUAAAAAUAUAUAACUUUCCAUAGUAAAGUUUUCUUUAUACGAAAAAUAUGUUGUGAGUUUUCCUGAUUUCUGACCCUCUUUACGUCGUCUUGACCAGUAAAGUAAAAAUUGUUUCCGUACCUGAUUCUUCAUUUGUUUUUUGAAAAAUGAGAAUUUGAGAUUUUUACAAUUGGGUACCAAAAUGCCCAUUAUGAAACACUAUGCCUCUGACCAUGGCUAAUUCUAAUUAAUGUUAAAACUGACCCUUUGACCUUGACAUUUAACUUACUUGAGAAUAAAACUUUCAGUUUACAAAGUUCAAAAGCUAAUUAUCAAGGUUACCUAUAAGUUGUAAACAGAGGCAUACCUAUAAGUUGUAAACAGAGGCAUACAUGUCGGUCAAGUCAGUAAACAUUGUGGAAAUAUUUCAUCUGCUGAUGUAAGUUGAAAUUGUUGUAAGAUAAUUAAAACAUGGAUAUCUUUUAAAAAAGAUUUGGGCUAUUUAUGUCUUGUAGAGCAACAAUAUUAAUUACAAGGUGAAAGAUGUGGAUUAAUGACCACAGGUUUAAAGAAUGGAUGUCAGAACUACAGCAGGGAUGAGUCAUACAUGCUAUUUCACCUUUAUAUACCUCUUUUUCCACCCACUGGUAGCAAUAGCCAAGUCAGGGUUAGGGUGCUCGCUUCAAAACCGGGAGGUUACUGGUUUGAUUUUAUGGCAGGAUAUAGGUUUGAUUCUAGAUCAAACUUGCCAUGUUAAACAUACAGAUGGUGACUGUUCCUUCACCAAGCACUCAGCAUCAAAAGUGAAGGUCUCCAUUCUUUUGGACAGAGGUUCCAUUUUCAAAGUAUAGGCAUGGCACAAUGAAGAUAUGAUAGUAUUCCAUGUAUUUUGAUUAAUUAUAAUGUGUGCUUACUCUAAAAGUCAAUAAUGAUAAGUUUGAGAAAAAAUUUACAACUAAUUUUUGUUGGGGGGGGGGGUGUUAAUUGGGGCUCUUGUACAGCUUGUUGGUUAAGUUUCAGAGAAUGUACCCUGUUUUUUUUUUAACAAAUAUGAAACUUCAAAAUAUGAACACAAAAUGGCCAGUUUAAUUCCAUAAAGAGUAACCUAUAAUGAAAGUGUAAAUUAAAUCUUUCUGAGUUCAUGUGGUAUCCAUUUCAAAUCUGCUGUUGAUGGUUCAUGCACUGAUAAAACCUUGUGAAUUAGUAAUUAUAAGAUAACUUCUGUAGCCCAAUUAAAAUGUGAGGAUUUUAAGAACUCCUGGCAGUACCAAGGCAUACAUUAAUCAAGUGCAUUAAAGCCAAAUUUAUAAAGGACAUGACAUUGAUAAACAAACACAUGUAGUACCAGUGAUUAGGAAUACAACUGAACUGGUACCGUCUCAGUACAAUUUCAUUUGUGGUGUAGUACCUCCAUUAAUAAUGAGUGUGUUGUUACCACAUUAUGGGUCCAGAUAAUGUUGAUGGUAUAGGUUACACCAGAAGGACCAUUCUUCAUCAGGAUACUUAAUACCUUGGCAGGUUGCAAGGAAUGUGUGAAAUUUAAAAUGAGAAAUUAAAUUUGUCAAAAUUUUCAGCCUUGGGCCUCUAGAUUGCUGUAAAAUUGUCACACAUUAGGUACAAAUAUAUCUAUUUAAAAAGCAACACGAAUGAUGGACAGUUCACGAACAUACUUUUUUAAAUUCUUGGUCUACUUGCAUGUAGUUGUACUAGAAAUUGUAAUGAUAACGAAGGUCGUGCCCGACAAUCGCGGACAGUGUCUGGGAACAAGUUCUAGAUUUGAACUAAUGUUAUAAAAGUAUUAAAAUUCAGAGGUAUUUUUUUCUAGAUGUUUUUGCUUCUGUACACUACUGCAGACCUUCGUGUCAGGUUUUUAUGCGAUUCGGUACACCGUUUUAUCAAUAUGGGCCAGCCCACAUUUCCUGUUUGUAGGUCCACCUCCACAAUCAGGUAUGUGGAAUGGUUCCACCUAGAAUCGUGACUGUCCAUUGCACUAUCUAACGACAGUCUCUAUUGCUUAGCUGUACAUUGAUUUAUCAGUUGUUUGUUUCAGUUGCUUCUCCACAAGUGUCUACCUGUGUGUUGAAAGGUAAGGAUAUUAAAACCAACACACAGGAUGUAAUUAUAAUGAACUUAUAUGAAUAGAAUUAAGUUUAUGAGCCCACCUAACCAAUCAUCAACUUUUCAUUCUUCUUCUUUUUAUUAGAUUCUCCUAUUCGUACGAUCCCCCCUCCUACACUCAUUAGAGUAAUUUCCCUUUAUUGAUACAAGCUGCUGAACCCCCACUGAAUUUAUUAUACUGUGAGAGUUAAUGCCCUUCAUAGCAUUACACACUAGGAAAAAUGUCUCCUCAUGAUUUGUGCCCGAGAUUGAUAUCUAUACUGGUCAGAUAACCUAUAUACUGUCUUCUCCAGUGUGUUAUUGACUAUUUUAUCUAAUUAGGUAGCAACUAUCUACCUGGGCUAUCUAAGACUAGUGGUUUGAUAUCUAAAUCCCUCUAGACCUGAGGUCAUAUCACCACUAAUGCUGAAUACCUGCGCGAGAUUGAAUUAUUAUUUCCUGUUCUCCAUUCAACCAAAAACAAAUUCUAUACACCUGAGUCUCUCCUCAUAAUGAAGACUGCCUCACUGUGUGUGUUGUGUGGAUAGAAAAACAGGAAAAUAUUUAAUAGCUAAGGCUCUGAUUUCCUACCUGAGUGAGAGAUUUUACAUCACAAGUCAUGUGACCAAAUGGCCUCAAUGACUAUAACAAUAUGGGUUGGUUAGACAUAUAGAGACUUCCUAUGUAAAUAGAGUGCAGCGUUCACUUCCUACAGGCGACCAGGCGGUGUGACACAGGAAUUCUACUGCAUGAGGAGACUAAUUAUUUACUGCUUUCCCCUUCAAUCACCAUGAAUCAUUUUAUCUGCAUGGAGAACAGACUUGCAUGAUUAUUUUUCAUCCAUUGAUUUUUUUUUUAUUCAUUUCAUGCGUGUGUGAGGGGAAAAUAUUUGUGAUAAUUUUUUUUUGUACACACAGAGGUUAGAACAGAUUUUUUAGUGCAUAAAAUGUUGAUGGAUUUAGAUUCUGUGCCAAUUCUGGAUUUGUCGUUAAAGAAAAAAUCUCGGCAUGACUCUGUGGAUUCUUAUGAUGAGGGACGUGGUCCCCCCUCAGAUAAAAUGGGAGGGGGAACCUACAAGAAAAAUCUCAUGAAAAGAUACUGUAAGUAGUCGCUUGUUUGUCAUUUGAAGCAAUGCAUGUUCUAUUAUUUACAUGUUGCAAACAUUUAUAUUGUGCACAUGUUGCACAUCUCAGUUUCAGGCUUUGUCAGUUGUAACACAUGUUGGGGGAGUUGCAUCGACAGACACAGGGUCAGUUGAAAGUGAAGCUGAAUAAAUAUAAAAUAUUGAUGAAAUGUCAGAAACACUUUCACAUAAUUUUCUGUCAUAUCUUUAGGCUAGAACUUUUAAGUUGGGAUUAUUCAUUGAGGGAAUGGCUGGUGGUUUUGGCACCUGUUUGGACAGUACAAAAACCUUUUAAAAUCAGCGGUCCAAAAAUAGGAUACCCUAUAUCAAACAAAUCGGGUUGACAAAAUAUUGAUUUUCUUCAUGUUGGCAAUAUAUUUCUCAAAAGGAUUUUAAUGACUUGAGGGAAUAUUUGAAGGCAGGAACUAGAGAGUUGGAUUUUUAUAACCCCUAUUAUGUUGAGCAGUCCCUAGAAGUCAGUUGUCCGUGUCUUUUCAACUACUGGUUUACUGCCUGAAAUUUUUCAACUUGAUAGAAUAUUGCUGAUAAUGAAAACCACGGGAGAGCACAGUCUUUGAUAUUCAUGGAAAGACUGUUGUAACCAUUGUGUGUGUAACAAAUGGGAGGUCCUUAGAUACAACUGCAGAUUUAUCAGUUGUGAAGACAGACAAGGCAGGUGCCCUUUUAGCUAUGAAUUAUGAUAGCUUCUGGUCCAAAUGUACAGUCCUACCCCUAAGGGCACAGAUAACAGACUAACAUUUCCUUUGUAUUUUGUCUAAGUCAUUGAAUAAGCAAUACAUGUGUAUGCCUUUCCAAUGAUUGAUUGUUACCAAUUAACACAGUGUGUAAUUAACUCAUCAACUCUCAUUGAUGAUGUCAUGAUUAAAAUCAAGAACAGGGCCCAGGCCCUGAAUAUGGAGUUAAUAACACUUGCUACAUACAUACUUUUUCAAAUAUGAUGAAAAUGACAACUAUCAACCGUAUACAUCUUUUUUUGUUUGUAUCAAGUGUCGUUAGUGUUUUUUUAAAAUCUAUUACAACAUAUGUAACACACACACAAUGACUAAGUUUUAUAUUUACCAAUCCCAUCUACUUGUUACACAUAUACCGCGUCUGUAAUAGACAUUAAAUACCAUUCACAAACCAUCUGAAAGAAAAAUAACAAGCCCAGAUUUAGUGUGAAAUUGCAGCACUGCAUAUAUUUUAUUAUUAUUUUUUGUGUACUUGGCUGUUAGCAUGGAGCUCAGUUCAUCAAGCAAAAUACUGCUUUUUUUUUCUUCUGUCAGGCACUUUUUUCCUUAGUCUAGCAUUCACACACUUCUUGAUAAUUGGAGCUAAUUAUGCAACUUCUUUAUUUUUACCUAUCUCUCACAUACUUCCUGGGGGUUUAUAACUCCCCCAACUUCCAUGAUUUUCGUAAUAAAAACCUGGUGUUCAUGCAUUAUUUUUUUUUUUGUACAAGUCCCUCAUCAAGAUGCUUGGAUGAUGUAGGUUUUGAUAAUUCAUAGCAUAGUAUUUGUACAUUUUUCCGCAAUGUCUGGCUGGGCUGGGCAACUGUUCUUGCGGAAUGGGGUGGUCACUUCCUUAUGCAAACAAUGUGCAUGAUUACCUGUUUGUCGACUAUUCCGUCUAAUUAGUGAUAGUCCUAAUUGGUUGCAGGUAUCAAUUAAUCCACUUUUCUUCUGCAAUACAUCUCAACAAAAUACGCAUUAGUGUAAUUAGAAAAUGCACAGCAACAGACAAGUAGAUGAGGUCUUGACCCAGCUUAGAUUGAAAAAGUAUGAAUCCUGUCAGCUCAGAUCUUGUAAACUAUUUUUUUAUUGCGGAGUCCAAGGUUGAGCUCUUGACCAUAUUUAUGUAUUAUAAAUUCUGUUUUUCAUGACACUGAUUACUCUAUUCUAUGUUGCACUUUCAAAUCAAAUACUUUUGAAUUAUUGGUUUGUGAGAUUUCGUUUGCAGAACAUGUCAUAAUUUCCCAAUGCUGGUCACAUCUCAGUUAAAAUGGUACACCAGUGUUCUUUUUUCUUCCCAGGGAUAUCAG